AAAAAAUUGCUUGGUAGCAAGUUAGUGUUACCUACGUCCGCCUGGUUGGUGAUCUCUGCUCGUCCGUCGUUUCUGCAGCUCAUCGCAGCCCCUCUGUCGCUGACAUUCAGUGCGCACUGAUUUGUUUUUGUGACCAGCUCGAGAAUUCUGCAGCUGCAUGAAACACCGAAGGGCUUCUGAGUAAAGAGUCUUUUGACCUCACCUGCCCGCCCGCUAAGUCCGCUGCUGUCCAGUGAACAACAGCCCGCGGUCUGCAUUUGCGCAUUGAGGACGACUCUGCUUGAAACGGCAACAAGUAGGCUGGUUCUUAACCGAACAUCUAUUUUUUGUGUUGAUCCGCUGGGUUUUGAAAGCUGGAGGGUCAAAGAAUUCGGUCCUUCAACUGGAGUUUGACAAAAAAUAGACAAAACAGAAGACGAAACAUUUCGCAAUGGAGUCUGGUGCCCCUGAACCAACUUCGCAUUGCAUGUCAAGGGAUUCUUCUGUAUACUGGAUUUAAUUCCUGAUUCCUUUCUGAGAGACAUUUUCAAGCGUUGAAUUUUAACCCUCCAUGAAUGUUUUUACUGCACUUACCAGGCGCGCUGAUACCACAGAUAGUAAAGUAAGUAAAGGAUCCUAACUAGCAGUUUAAACCGCAUCAAACAACAUUUAAACUCACCUGGGUGUUGAUUUAGGUUCAUAUGGGUGCUGAUUUAAGCUCACCUGGGUGCUGAUUUAGGCUCAUAUGGGUGCUGAUUUAUAAGCUCACCUGGGUGCUGAUUUAGGCUCAUAUGGGUGCUGAUUUAGGCUCAUAUGGGUGCUGAUUUAUAAGCUCACCUGGGUGCUGAUUUAGGCUCAUAUGGGCAGGCCGAGUGAGACGUGGUAAGUAAACAAAGCAGGUGCUCAGAUUACAACACACACAGAGGGAGAGAGGCUUCAUAUCUCAGGUCAGAUAAAUAUUGCUGCACUCUAUCUACAUUCCUGCUAUAUAUCACAUAUGUCUUUAGCAUUCUAUUGGGGUCUUGAAUGUUUAAACGAGACACAUUUUCGCUCCUGCACUUUCCUCCUUGAACUUGUACAUUUUUGCAGAUUGCCAGCGGCGGUGCCAAGUGCAGUUAAUCCAACCGUGAUCAUUACUAGACAUAAAAUAACUUGAGUGGUCUGCAGCCUUCACCGAGCUAGAAUGAAGAUUUCAGGAUACAGCAGUUUAUCCCGAGGUAGCAUCUAUUGUCAUAAUCUUCUUGGCAAGAGCAACCUUGAGACGUCUGCGUUUCUCUCUGUGAUGGAGAAAGCAGUGGGCGGGUUUAAACAAUGCGUGUAACGUCAGGGGGCCUCAAAUGUCACAGCACACAAAUCAAUAGUGUUAGAGGGACCAACUCGGGCUCUCUACUGAAUCCUGAUCCUCAUAAAGUUUGUUCCGCCCCAAACAGUCUAUUGGUCAUCCCAGUGAUUCUAUGGGUCAAAAAGAACCACCAGUUAAUUUCUGAAUUACUUUCCGGUCAGAAGUCUUUUAAGUACUGUGAGGUAAUCUUUUGAGAAUAAUCCCCUUGAGUGAGACGGUGACCUUUUCAUGAAGCUAAGCAGCACUAUGAUAAUUAAUGAUUGCGCCUCAGGUUGAAACUCCCACACACAAAAACAUUUGGACAUUCAUUUACGUUUUUGAGCAUUGUUUUCGGUAUUUUGGCCUCCGCCAUCUUACAUCUUGACGAACUGUCAUGGAUGGAAAACACAGUUUGAGAGGUUUGAGGGGACGAUAUUUAGUGCAGUAUGGACCCGUCAAAUGCAAACCAGUCAUGGCCUGAAGCCUAAUCUGCUUUAAAGUCUAUUUGACUGUAAACGGGACAUCAUUUAGGAAAUGAAUACCACGAUAUAUCGAGACGAUAAAACCACACAAAGGAGAAGGGAAUGUUCUUUUUCAUAGACUUCCAUCCCACUGACCCACUUUAACAGCCACAGGAGGCUCCCCGGAUGGCCAGUAGAAAGAAUAAAAGUUUAUGGUACCUGGUGGGUACAUCGAGGGGACUCGCUUUAAAGUGAUCGGUGGCACUGAGGUGAACUUUCUUCACAACAAGGCUGUUCAUGGCGGGUAUUUCUCCGUUUUGUUUCCCCGGCUGGUGAGAAACGUCUCCAGCUGCUGUCUGUUAUCCGGCUGUUUGAGCCGCUGUCGCUGGUUCCGUAUGAAAGCUUUGUCGUUUUAAAGAGUCCGGGUCACUUUGAGGCCGCUCCACCAUUUCACACCUCUCUUUUUGUGGUGGUUGUUGUGCGUUUGGCUCUUCUCGGCAGGCCAAGCUUUCUUCACGCCCCCGAAGAGGGCUUUUCUUUUUCUGCCUUCAACAUUAUUCUGUUGUGUUGAUUUAGAUAAUAUUCAAGCAAACGUUCAACAUGUAUUGGAGGUACAGGGCUUCUAACUGUAAACAGACACACUUCCCACGCACUCUCACCGACACACACACACAAACACCGUCUCUGCUCUCGAGCUGUAGAUAAGAAUGCGAGGUGGGAUAAGUCGGACGCCAUUUAGCCGAGGUCUUAUCACCCCCCCAAAACCUCUGUGGGUGACGUCCCGUGUCUCUCUCUCUCUUCUAUUCUAUUCUUCUUCUCUCUUCCGCUCUGUUGUUUUGAAUGUGGUGUUGUGUCAAUAUCUCGAUCACGAUUUCAUUUCAUUUUCAUGCCAUAGACGGCAUCGCUAUGGUCCCCCAGCGCUUCAAGUCUUCCAUUUUGAAUAAAACAAUACUUCACUUCAAAAAAAAUCAUGACAACUCCAUUGUUGUGUUUCAUUGUUGCCGCCGUUCAUUGGAGAGAAGCUGCAUCACGUGUUACUUGAUGGUCGUAAAGAGUGAAUAGAAAUCACGGCGUAUUUAGAUGAACUGAGCUUGUGUCUUUUUCUUUGUUGUCGUUCAACUCACAGUUCGACAUUCGGUAGCAUCACACACGACGUAUUGUUGCUGUUGUCUUGUAAACAGGUUUUUGCCACAUUUCUCAGCACUGUUCCUGGGGCUUCAUAGCAAUGGGUUGUUCUGAAAUAAAUGCCAUUUUUCAUACGGGGUGAUUCUGCAGCAUUAAACCUGUGUUUACAAUAUUCCUUAUUGUAGCAUCCCUUCAACUUGGAAUAAACAGGCUUGGGAGUGUUUCCAGACGGGUG
ensembl:lncRNA